CAGCUACUGAUGAGUCCCAAAUAGGACGAAAUGCGCGUUCAACUG
rnacentral:hammerhead_ribozyme from 1 species